rnacentral:rRNA from 1 species
AACGUAGGAGACAAACGUUAUCCGGAGUUACUGGGCGUAAAGGGCGUGUAGGUGGUAUCGUAAGUCUGGCGUGAAAUUUCUCGGCUUAACCGAGGCAGGUCGUCGGAUACUGCGAGGCUAGAGGACGGUAGAGGCGUGUGGAAUUCCGGGUGCAGUGGUGAAAUGCGUAGAGAUCCGGAGGAACACCAGUGGCGAAGGCGACGUCCUGGGCUUGACCUGACGCUGAGACGCGACAGCACGGGGAGCGAACGGG